GACGAACGCUGGCGGCGUGCUUAACACAUGCAAGUCGAACGGUGAAGCGCCUUGCUUUUUGGUGGGUGGGGAGGGGUGGCGAACGGGUGGGUAACACGAGAGUAACCUGCCCCCUUCUUCUGGAUAACCGCAUGAAAGUGUGGCUAAUACGGGAUAUUCUGGGUCUGUCGCAUGAUGGGUCUGGGAAAGAUAUUGUGUCGGUUGGGGAUGGGCUCGCGGCCUAUCAGCUUGUUGGUGGGGUGAUGGCCUACCAAGGCGGUGACGUGUAGCCGGCCUGAGAGGGUCGCCGGCCCCACUGCGACUGCGACACCGCGCCGCCUCCUACGGGCGGCAGCAGUGGAGCAUAUUGCACAGUGGGCGCAAUCCUGAUGCAGCGCCGCCGCGUGAGGGAUGGACGCCUUCGGGUUGUGAACUUCUUUCGCCAGUGAAGUAGGCCUGCCUUGUUUGUGGGUGGGUUGACGGUACCUGGAUAAGAAGCGCCGGCUAACUACGUG
rnacentral:rRNA from 1 species